UUUUGGUGCCAGCAGCCGCGGUAAUUCCAGCUCCAAUAGCGUAUAUUAAAGUUGUUGCGGUUAAAAAGCUCGUAGUUGGACUUGUGUCCCACGCCGUCAGUUCGUGGCCCGUCUACGUAACUGCACGGUUAUGUGAGUGGGACGUCCAGCCGGUGGGACGUCUGGUCGCGUCGCUGGCCGCGCCCCUUGGCGGUCCACCCGACGUGCGCGGGUCCCGCGUGUCUCCGUGCUCCCGGCGUGUUCCCGCGGCGACGCAAGUCGCCCGGGCUGCCGCGGGGUGCGCGAGUUCGCGCGAAGGCACGCGCCGUAGGAGCCGUCCUCGCAGGGUGUUCGCUGUGUCGGCUCGCGGUGCCGGUCCCAUGUUACUCGUCUCGGUGCUCUUAAUCGAGUGUCUUGACGGGCCGGCUCGUUUACUUUGAACAAAUUAGAGUGCUUAAAGCAGGCUAAUAUACGCCUGAAUAUUGUGUGCAUGGAAUAAUGGAAUAGGAUCUCGGUUCUAUUUUGUUGGUUUUCUGAACCAGAGAUAAUGAUUAAUAGAGACUGACGGGGGCAUUCGUAUUGCGACGUUAGAGGUGAAAUUCUUGGAUCGUCGCAAGACGAACCGAAGCGAAAGCAUUUGCCAAGAAUGCUCUCGUUAAUCAAGAACGAAAGUUAGAGGUUCGAAGGCGAUCAGAUACCGCCCUAGUUCUAACCAUAAACGAUGCCAACUAGCGAUCCGCCGGUGUUCCUCCGAUGACCCGGCGGGCAGCUUCCGGGAAACCAAAGUGUUUGGGUUCCGGGGGAAGUAUGGUUGCAAAGCUGAAACUUAAAGGAAUUGACGGAAGGGCACCACCAGGAGUGGAGCCUGCGGCUUAAUUUGACUCAACACGGGAAACCUCACCAGGCCCGGACACUGGAAGGAUUGACAGAUUGAUAGCUCUUUCUUGAUUCAGUGGGUGGUGGUGCAUGGCCGUUCUUAGUUGGUGGAGCGAUUUGUCUGGUUAAUUCCGAUAACGAACGAGACUCUGGCCUGCUAACUAGUCGCACAUUGACGACAUCCGCAUUCGUGCUGUCGGCGACAAAUAUAAACUCUUCUUAGAGGGACAGGCGGCUUCUAGCCGCACGAGAUUGAGCAAUAACAGGUCUGUGAUGCCCUUAGAUGUUCUGGGCCGCACGCGCGCUACACUGAAGGAAUCAACGUGUGUUUUCCCUUGACCGAGAGGUCCGGGUAACCCGCUGAAACUCCUUCGUGCUAGGGAUCGGGGCUUGCAAUUCUUCCCCGUGAACGAGGAAUUCCCAGUAAGCGCGAGUCAUAAGCUCGCGUUGAUUACGUCCCUGCCCUUUGUACACACCGCCCGUCGCUACUACCGAUUGAAUGAUUUAGUGAGGUCUUCGGACCGUCGCGCGGCGGCGCUCGCAAGAGCCCGUCGAUGUUCGACGGAAAGAUGAUCAAACUUGAUUAUUUAGAGGAAGUAAAAGUCGUAACA
rnacentral:rRNA from 1 species